rnacentral:rRNA from 1 species
UACAGAGGUCUCAAGCGUUGUUCGGAAUUACUGGGCGUAAAGGGCGCGUAGGCGGCCCGCUAAGUCGAACGUGAAAUCCCCAGGCUCAACCUGGGAACUGCGUCCGAUACUGGCAGGCUUGAAUCCGGGAGAGGGAUGUGGAAUUCCAGGUGUAGCGGUGAAAUGCGUAGAUAUCUGGAGGAACACCGGUGGCGAAGGCGGCAUCCUGGACCGGUAUUGACGCUGAGGCGCGAAAGCUAGGGGAGCAAACGGG